UUUUCAUAAAUGCUUACUUACUGGAGAAGUAGAGUAGUAUUAUCUUGAGCCAAAUAUAAACCUACGUAGGUUGUCCUAAUGAGAGGUGACACCGUGCUGGCAGCCCUCAUAGCCCUCCCUGGCUGUCGGCGCCUCCUCGGCCUUGGCGCCCACUCUGGGCGCGCUUGAGGAGCCCUUCAGCCCGCCACUGUACUGUGGGAGCCCCUUUCUGGGCUGGCCAAGGCUGGAGCCGGCUCCCUCAGCUUGCGGGGGAGGUGUGGAGGGAGAGGCGCAGGCGGGAACCGGGGCUGCGAGCGGUGCUUGCGGGCCAGCGUGAGUUCCCAGUGGGUGUGGGCUCGGUGGGCACGCACUUGGAGCAGCCGGCAGGCCCCGCCGGCCAUGGGCAGUGAGAGGCUUAGCACCUGGGCCAGCAGCUGCUGUGCUCAAUUUCUCGCAGGGCCUUAGCUGCCUUCCCACGGGGCAGCACUUGGGACCUGCAGCCCGCCAUGCCUGAGCCUCCCCUGCCCCCGUGGGCUCCUGUGUGGCCUGAGCCUCCCUGACGAGCACCGCCCCCUGCCCCACGGCGCCCAGUCCCAUCGACCACCCUAGGGCUGAGAAGUGCGGGCACAGGGCGCGGGACUGGCAGGCAGCUCCACCUGCGGCCCCAGUGCGGGAUCCACUGGGUGAAGCCAGCUGGGCUCCUGACUCUGGUGGGGGACUUGAAGAACCUUUAUGUCUAUCUAAGGGAUUGUAAAUACACCAAUCGGCACUCUGUAUCUAGCUCAAGGUUUAUAAAUGCACCAAUCAGCACCCUGUGUGUAGCUCAGGGUUUGUGAAUGCACCAAUCGACAAUCUGUAUCUAGCUAAUCUAGUGGGGAGGUGGAGAACCUUUGUGUUUAGCUCAGGGAUUGUAAAGGCACCAGUCAGCGCCCUGUCAAAAGAGACCACUCGGCUCUCUGUAAAAUGGACCAAUCAGCAGGAUUUUGAGUGGGGCCUGAUAAGAAUAAAAGCAGGCUGCCCCAGCCAGCAGUGGCAACCCAUUCAGGUCCCAUUCCACAUUGUGGAAGCUUUGUUCUUUCGCUCUUUGUGGUGAAUUUUGCUGCUGCUCACUCUUUGGGUCCACACUGCCUUUACGAGCUGUAAUACUCACCGCGACGGUCUGCAGCUUCACUCCUAAAGCCAGCGAGACCACGAACCAACCAGGAGGAACAAACAACUCCAGACACGUCGCCUUAAGAGCGGUAACACUCACCUGGAAGGUCAAGGUCUGCAGCUUCACUCCUGAAGCCAGCGAGACCACGAACCCACCAGAAGGAAGAAACUCCAAACACAUCCGAGCACCAGAAGGAACAAACUCCGGACACGCCGCCUUUAAGAACUGUGACACUCAGCGCGAGGGUCUGCGGCUUCAUUCUUGAAGUUAGUGAGACCAGGAACCCACCAAUGCUGGACACUAACAUAAACUGGAAAAAGUUCUAGAGGCCAGAAGUCUAAACUCCUUACUGCUCAGUUGUGCACUGGCUGCGGGCUCCAGGGGAGAAUCUGUUCCUGGUCUCUUCCAGCUUCUGGUGGCCAGCCGCAUUCCUUGGCUCGUGGCUGCAUCGCUCCAGUCUUCAAGGUCAGCAUCUUCAAAUCUCUCUCUGCUCCAUCUUCACACGGCCUUCUCCUCGGUGUGUCUGAUAUCCCUCUGUCUCCCUCUUACAGAGAUACCUGCAUUGGCCAGAUGCAGUGGCUCACACCUGUAAUCCCAGUGCUUUGGGAGGCUGAGGUGGGAGGAUCACUUGGGGCCAGGAAUUGAAGAUUAUGCUGGGCAACAUAGUAAGACCCCGUCUCUACAAAAUAAACAGAAAAGAACUGUAUUUAGGGCCCACCCAUGUAAUCCAGGAUAAUCUCCUUCCAUGUCAAGACCCUUACUUAAUCACAUCUGCAAAGACCCUUGUAUUCACAGGUUCUGGGGAUCAGGGUGUGGAUAUAUUUUGGGGAGGGAGACAUUUCCAGCCUGUCACACCCAGCUGCGGGGGACAUGUUCAAGUUGGCUGUCCUUUUUGCCUCCACUGCCCGUUUGCUGUGGAGUUGUGCCCUUGUCUCCUUCAAGCUCCCCUAGCCGCCCACACAUCAUCUUUCCUGCCCGAGCUCAGCUCCCCAUCCUGAGACUUCCUAUUUCUGCCCACAGCCACAUCAUUUUCUCCACCAUCCUCCUCAGAACUAUCUUUGACCCCUGGUGCUCCUACCCUUUCCUGAUGCCACUCCACCUACGCCUUACAUCAGUCACCAAAUCUCAGCAUCACAGUCUGACCAAAAGGGAAACUUCUCAUCUGACUCCUCUGAUGCACAGAGAUGGAGCUGAGCCCUAGAGAUAGGGAGUGACUUGCUGGGGUCACAUGGUGAUUUCAUGGCGAGACUGGACCACAGCCCAGGCCCCUGGGAUCCACUCCUACCCUGACUGCCCAUCGGCAAAAUGCUUCCUGAGGACAAGGCUCUCUCCAUCCUUCUGUCCCUUCCUGAGCCCUGCCCUUGCCUCCCCUCCUUGGGAGGCUGCGGAAGCCUCGUGGGCCUUCUC
rnacentral:lncRNA from 1 species